rnacentral:snoRNA from 1 species
CUCGACUGGGUGAUGAAACAUUUCGGAUGUAAACCUUUUAAUUUUCUCCGAGAGCGCAAAAACCGUGUGGAGAUUUCCGUUGCCUUCCUUCUGACAGUCGA